CACGCACGCACGCACGCACGCACGCAGAAAAGAGCAAUGGCGGUGGCGUGUGAGGCGAGGUUGUCAAGACGUGGUGUCUUCCAUCAUGCUCUCGCCUGACUUUCUCACUCCGAGGGAACCCAACGUCUGUGUUGUGAGGAUGCUGAAGCACGUCGGCGUGGCAAGCUCCUCAAAGUGAGGACCUGAGGCCUCCCACCCUCAGCCGUGUGGGGCAGCCAUCUUGGAAACAGACCCUCCGGCCCCAGUCAAGCCUUCGCAUCAAACCAUGGCCCCAGUGACAUCUUGGCUAUGACCUUGGAGAGACUGUGCGCCAGAACCACCCAGCUAAGCUGCUCCCAUGCUCCUGAUCCACAAGAAACUCUAAGAUAAUCCGUGUUUGUUGUUUUAAGCCGUUAAGUUUUUAAUUUUUAUUUUAUAUUUGACUGCAUCGCAGGGCCUAUGGAUCCCUGGUUCCCCAACCAAGUAUCAAACCUGUGCCCCCCUGCAUUUGAAGCACAGAGUCUUAACCAUUCGACCACCAGGGAAGUCCCAAAGCCAUUAAGUUUUGGAGUAAUUUGUUAUGCAGCAAUAGUUCUAUUGCUGGAAGAAACAUGCCUCUCAAAGGAAAUAAGAACCCUCUUGAUGAAAACUCACUUUUGCCAGUUGUGGCCAAGCAUGUGGCCUCCAUCCUCAAGGUCAUCUUAUGAUUCAGAGUGGCUGCUUCAGCUCCAGCCUUCACAUCUACCUUCUAGGAAAACAGCCAGAAGAAACUGAGGAACCAAAGGGCCCCCACACCUUCCCUUUUAUAGAAGCUUCAUGGCAAGAACCCACCCAAGCUCUUUUUAUGUCUCCUUGGUCAAGUCGUGGUCAUAUGGCCAUAUCCAGCUGCAAGGGAUGCUAAGAAAUGUAGUUUGGACAUUGACUGACAUUCAACAGUCUCUGUACCAUCAGAGAUGCAGUGUGACUAGGUCAUCCCAAAAGAACUGGAGUUCUGAUCCCCCCAAAACAGUGCUUGGACAAAGGGGUCGCCUGGUGUUUCUCCCAUGACUCACUGACCUGAGUCUUCAUUACCUGGGACAGUCUGCCUCCCUCCAGAUUUGGGGAUGGAAGUGGUUUAUUGUUUCUAGUACAUUUGGCUCAGCAAAACUAAAGGAGCAGUCUCCUUGUGUUCUCAGGCGUGUGUCUCCACGCUCCACCCCGGAAGCAGCCGUGAUCUCUGUAGCUGAGAAUCUGCUCCCCUCUUUUACCAUCUGCUUGCCUCUGCCCCAACCUUCCCCGAUAGAAAAGCAUUUCAAGGCUCUGCUUUGGGUUUCUUCAUCUCCCUCAAGGUGGCGUUACCGAGAAUCAGCUUUUCUGCCAUCUGUUUUACCUUCUUUUUCUUUUUCUUAAUCCCUCACCAGCUCUUUCUAGAAAUCCUAGAGGUUGGCUCUAGGGUUAUGGGGAAGCUUAGAGGAGGAACUGGGGUCUUCUUUAGUGGGAGCCCAGUGGGAUGGGCAUGGUGGGGAGUGGGGUAGGCAGUGGAGUUCAUCAGGAAUCACUGGGACUCAAAGAC
ensembl:lncRNA